CCUGCACCAACCUGGAGAGC
rnacentral:misc_RNA from 1 species